UCGGGAAUUUUGGGCAAUGGGCGCAAGCCUGAUCCAGCCAUGCCGCGUGAGUGACGAAGGCCUUAGGGUUGUAAAGCUCUUUUGGCGGGGAAGAUAAUGACGGUACCCGCAGAAUAAGCUCCGGCUAACUUCGUGCCAGCAGCCGCGGCAAUACGAAGGGGGCUAGCGUUGUUCGGAAUUACUGGGCGUAAAGCGCACGUAGGCGGAUUUGUAAGUCAGGGGUGAAAUCCCGGGGCUCAACCUCGGAACUGCCUCUGAUACUGCGGAUCUCGAGUCCGGAAGAGGUGAGUGGAAUUCCUAGUGUAGAGGUGAAAUUCGUAGAUAUUAGGAAGAACACCAGUGGCGAAGGCGGCUCACUGGUCCGGUACUGACGCUGAGGUGCGAAAGCGUGGGGAGCAAACAGGAUUAGAUACCCCUGUAGUCCCUGAGCGGGCUGGCAAGGCGCAU
rnacentral:rRNA from 1 species